rnacentral:rRNA from 1 species
UACGUAGGAGGCUAGCGUUGUCCGGAAUCAUUGGGCGUAAAGCGCGUGUAGGCGGUCCGGUAAGUCCGCUGUGAAAGUCGAGGGCUCAACCCUCGAAUGCCGGUGGAUACUGUCGGGCUUGAGUACGGGAGAGGCGAGUGGAAUUCCUGGUGUAGCGGUGAAAUGCGCAGAUAUCAGGAGGAACACCGAUUGCGAAGGCAGCUCGCUGGAACGUUACUGACGCUGAGACGCGAAAGCGUGGGGAGCAAACAGG